rnacentral:sRNA from 1 species
AUUUAUUUAUAAUAAUUAUCAAAUACCAAAAAAUCGUUUUUUUAUUUCUGGGUAAAUUAAUUAUAAAAUCAAUCAAUGUUUAUUUCCAAAACUUAUCCGGUAUAAAUAACAGUUAAAAGUUUUUCGGCGCGUCCGGCACAGACUUUUUAUUUGCUAAUAUAUAUUUUAAUUAUAUAUAAAAUAUCUUAUAUAUUUUAUUAUAUUAUUUUAAUCGUAAUUUGUAAGAAAUAUAAUAAACGUAUUAUUUUUACCAAAAUAGCCAAUUAUUUAUAAUUUAUAAAUCCAUUAUAAUAUUACCGUAAUUAAUAAUUUCCGAUUCGGUAAUUCUAAUUGUUUUUUAUAUUAUAAAGCCCCAAAUGCGUUUACCGCGCAAUUUGCUAUUUAUGUUUUCCUUUUCGUUUUUGGCGCAAAACGUCGUUUGUUUUUUAUAUUACGUUUGAAUAUAUUUGGUAUAAAUUAUUUUUCGGCAAUAUUUUAAUUUAACACCGGACCAAAUAUACUUAAGGAAAAAUUUGAAAUUUCGGCGGGAAAAUUACGGCGGUCGCGGGCGUUAUAAUAUUUGCCGGCGUUAAAUUUAUUAAUAAUAUAAUUGGGCGUAAUACAAUUAUUAAUUAUAAUAUAUUACAUUUUUUUUGUUAAAUAACGUGUCGAAAUCCCCCGGUAACCGGCCCGGAUAAAAAUGUAAACUAAAAUUAAAUUUCGAAAGCGUUUCCGCCUAAUAUAUUUAUUUUUCCAAAAAAGUUUAAAUUUGGAGAAAUAUUCCAACGUUUUAUAAUUUAUUAAAAUUAAAAGCCGGCAAAUAUUACGGAAUUUGGCGUUUUAUAUUUUGAAAUAUAUUAUUACCGCAAUUUAUUAUAAAUGGUAUAUUUGUUAAAACGUCGGUUAAUUUAAUCGAAUAAAACGCGAUUAAAUAUUAUAAACCGUUUGUUUUCCUAUGCGAAAAACAAUCUUCCAGUACCGUACCGGAACAAUUUAUUUCCAAUUUUAAUUUUGCGCAUUAUUUUGUUAAAUAAAUAUUAGUAUUUGAAAAUAUAUAUAUUUCAAUAUUUCGAACGUUUUUUCGAAUUCUUUUAUUUAUUAAAACGGGGCUUUCUUUUUAAUUAUUAAUAAGAAAAUCGUUAAUAUUAAAUAACCGUUUAUAAAAUUAUAAUAAAAAUUUGUAAAUUUUAAAAAACCACCGAAUUGUUGGAAUUUCAUCGGAAUUUCCCAGUUUUAAAUUAUUUGUAUUUUUUCGGGGUCGGUUUGAACUUUUUCCCCGUAUUAAUAAUAAAUUUUGGAUAUUCUUUUUUUACCGCGAAUGCGUUUUUAUUAAAAUCCAAAUUAAAUUCGGUUGCAACCAAUUUAUUUAAUAGCGGGGCUAUUUUUAAUUAUUAAUUGGAUUUCAAACCGGAAAAAUAAAUAAAUAUAUCGUUUAAAUAAUUUAAUAUAUAAUUUUUUAGCGUAUUAAUUAAUAUACCGUUAAUAUAACGUUAAAGAAUUGCAGCCGUUCCGGCAAAUUCGAGCAAAUAUACCAAUUAUUUGAAUAAUUUAAAACGAAUUUUAAAAGUUAUAAUAUAUUAAUUAUUUUCCGCAAUUUAUAAUUUGUAAAAUACAGCGCGUAUAUUUAUUUUGGUAAAUUACCGCGUUUUGGCCAGAAAAUAUAAUUAUUCUUUUAAUUAAUAGUAAACAAAUAACGGUUUUAUAUAAUAAAAUUAUUUAAAGUUAUAUAAUUUAUAUAUAAUUUCCAAUUUUUUGACGUUUUGCGUAUUAUUUAAACCGGGGCGGCCGCCGAUAAAAAAAUAAAUUUUAAUCCAAUUUUUAUUUAUUAUAUUUAUUAUUAAUAUUAUAAAUUCAAGAAUUAUUUUCGCGGUAUAUAAUAAAACGGGUUUUUAAAAAAAAUCGGGGUUUUUCCAAAUUUGUUUUUUUAUAAAUAAAUAUAAUAAUCGAAAUAAUUUCGGUAUAAUAAUAAUUUCGAUAAUUUUGUUUUAUUAAAUAAAUCCGCGAAUUUUACCAAUUUGGGGGGAAAUAUUAUUUAUAACGGCGUUUAUUUAUAUAAAACCGUUAUUUGUAAAAUAUUUGCUAUUUUCUGGAAAAAUAUCGAUAUACAUUAUAUAUAUUCGCCGUUAUAUUCUUUUAUUUACCGAUAUACGGUUAGAAAAACAUUAUUAAUAAUUACCGUGGAUUUGGUUAAAACGGGGCGUAUAAACAAUUUAGUUACUAAUAUAUUUUUUUACCGCGGUUAUAAUUAUUUUUUUUACGCCGUAUUAAAUAAUAUCCGCUGGUAAAUUAUAUAAAAUAAUUUUAAUAUUAUAUUUCGGGUUAAUUUUGGUAUUAUAUAAAAAAAUAUCGGUAUUAUUUAUUUAUUAAUAUUUAUUUCGCAUUUAAUUAAUUUCUUAAUUAUUAA